CCUACGGGAGGCAGCAGUGGGGAAUAUUGCACAAUUGGGGAAACCCUGAUGCAGCAACGCCGCGUGAGUGAUGACGGCUUUCGGGUUGUAAACUUCUUUGACAGGGGAAGAGCAGAAGACGGUACCCUGAAAACAAGCCACGGCUAACUACGUGCCAGCAGCCGCGGUAAUACGUAGGUGGCAAGCGUUGUCCGGAUUUACUGGGUGUAAAGGGCGUGUAGCCGGGAAGGCAAGUCAGAUGUGAAAUCCGGAGGCUCAACCUCCGAAUUGCAUUUGAAACUGUUUUUCUUGAGUACUGGAGAGGCAGACGGAAUUCCUUGUGUAGCGGUGAAAUGCGUAGAUAUAAGGAGGAACACCAGUGGCGAAGGCGGUCUGCUGGACAGCAACUGACGGUGAGGCGCGAAAGUGUGGGGAGCAAACAGGAUUAGAUACCCUAGUAGUC
rnacentral:rRNA from 1 species